AUGAACGCUGGCGGCGUGCCUAAUACAUGCAAGUCGAGCGAACAGACGAGGAGCUUGCUCCUCUGACGUUAGCGGCGGACGGGUGAGUAACACGUGGAUAACCUACCUAUAAGACUGGGAUAACUUCGGGAAACCGGAGCUAAUACCGGAUAAUAUAUUGAACCGCAUGGUUCAAUAGUGAAAGACGGUUUUGCUGUCACUUAUAGAUGGAUCCGCGCCGCAUUAGCUAGUUGGUAAGGUAACGGCUUACCAAGGCAACGAUGCGUAGCCGACCUGAGAGGGUGAUCGGCCACACUGGAACUGAGACACGGUCCAGACUCCUACGGGAGGCAGCAGUAGGGAAUCUUCCGCAAUGGGCGAAAGCCUGACGGAGCAACGCCGCGUGAGUGAUGAAGGUCUUCGGAUCGUAAAACUCUGUUAUUAGGGAAGAACAAAAGUGUAAGUAACUAUGCACGUCUUGACGGUACCUAAUCAGAAAGCCACGGCUAACUACGUG
rnacentral:rRNA from 1 species